AGCAUUACGCAGGGGUGAUAUCGUAACCAAUGAGGUACAACUAUGGUGCAAUUAUUGCUAGUUGAAAACUAAACACAGUUCAUGUUCUCUGUAUUUUCAUAUGCAAAAAAAAACUCUUAAAUUUCCAUAUCUAACUACUCACCUCUACCAUGGA
rnacentral:snRNA from 1 species